rnacentral:misc_RNA from 1 species
GAAAUGCGAUACGUAAUGUGAAUUGCAGAAUUCAGUGGAUCAUCGAGUCUUUGAACGCACAUUGCGCCCCCUGGUAUUCCGGGGGGCAUGCCUGUCCGAGCGUCAUUGCUGCCCUCAAGCACGGCUUGUGUGUUGGGCCCCCGUCUCCCCUCCAAAGGGGACGGGCCCGAAAGGCAGCGGCGGCACCGUGUCCGGUACUCGAGCGUAUGGCAAGCAACUUUUUGUCACCCGCUCCUGUAGGUCCGGCCGGCGGCCUGCCCACCCCCAAUCCAUCUUUUAACCAGGUUGACCUCGGAUCAGGUAGGGAUACCCGCUGAACUUAA